GCACCUUUCCUGUUUUUAAAAAGAUAGAACAACAAAGAACGAAGUCGAGGAGAAACCUUCCGUUUAUCAAGUAUCAUUAUGAAGCUUGUCAAACAAAUCAAUGGCUGAAAUGUAUCAAGUGGAGCAAAAUCAAAAUUCAGUUUUGGGAAUUCCAGUCUAUAAAAUCAUCAAAGAGUUUAAAUAUACUGCAAAAGUAUAAAGAUGUCACUGAGAAACACAUAUCUGAUAAAGAC